AGUGAACGCUGGCGGUAGGCCUAACACAUGCAAGUCGAACGGCAGCACAGUAAGAGCUUGCUCUUACGGGUGGCGAGUGGCGGACGGGUGAGGAAUACAUCGGAAUCUACAUUUUCGUGGGGGAUAACGUAGGGAAACUUACGCUAAUACCGCAUACGACCUACGGGUGAAAGCAGGGGAUCUUCGGACCUUGCGCGAUUGAAUGAGCCGAUGUCGGAUUAGCUAGUUGGCGGGGUAAAGGCCCACCAAGGCGACGAUCCGUAGCUGGUCUGAGAGGAUGAGCAGCGACACUGGGACUGCGACACGGACCAGACGCUUAAGGGAGGCAGGAGUGGGGAAUAUUGGACAAGGGGCGAAAGCAUGAUCCGGCAAUGCCGCGUGAGUGAUGAAGGCCUUAGGGUUGUAAAGCUCUUUUACACGGGAUGCUAAUGACAGUACCGGGAGAAUAAGCUCCGGCUAACUCCGUG
rnacentral:rRNA from 1 species